GUUAGUGGCGGACGGGUGAGUAACACGUGGGAACGUGCCUUUAGGUUCGGAAUAGCUCCUGGAAACGGGUGGUAAUGCCGAAUGUGCCCUUCGGGGGAAAGAUUUAUCGCCUUUAGAGCGGCCCGCGUCUGAUUAGCUAGUUGGUGGGGUAAUGGCCCACCAAGGCUACGAUCAGUAGCUGGUCUGAGAGGAUGACCAGCCACAUUGGGACUGAGACACGGCCCAAACUCCUACGGGAGGCAGCAGUGGGGAAUCUUGCGCAAUGGGCGAAAGCCUGACGCAGCCAUGCCGCGUGUAUGAUGAAGGUCUUAGGAUUGUAAAAUACUUUCACCGGUGAAGAUAAUGACUGUAGCCGGAGAAGAAGCCCCGGCUAACUUCGUGCCAGCAGCCGCGGUAAUACGAAGGGGGCUAGCGUUGCUCGGAAUUACUGGGCGUAAAGGGAGCGUAGGCGGACAUUUAAGUCAGAGGUGAAAUCCCGGAGCUUAACUUCGGAACUGCCUUUGAUACUGGGUGUCUUGAGUGUGAGAGAGGUAUGUGGAACUCCGAGUGUAGAGGUGAAAUUCGUAGAUAUUCGGAAGAACACCAGUGGCGAAGGCGACAUACUGGCUCAUUACUGACGCUGAGGCUCGAAAGCGUGGGGAGCAAACAGGAUUA
rnacentral:rRNA from 1 species